rnacentral:lncRNA from 1 species
GUAACUGCUACGCUUACCCAGACGGCCUCUCUCUUGGUCUUCGGCGGGUACGUGUCUUCCGGCCAGCUCUCUUCCGCUUCUGCUGUCUUGAUGACGCACAGUGCUGGCGCAAGUCGUCUUGCGCCAGGCGACUGGGUCUGAGGAGGCAGGAGUUAUUCAUUCCCUUAAGCUUUCAGGCCGGGGGGAGAAUCUUUCAGGUGGUAGCUGCAAGAACUCUUAGUAUGUUGACCUCACCUCUGCCUUCCACAUACCACUACCAGUGAGGAAUUAGGAAUGCAUGAGAAGAGUGUCCAAGAAGAGUGUCCUCAUUCAUGCAAGGCUUAAGAGAGAAUGCAGGUCAACAUCACCAUGUCAAUCAGAGGUGCAGAUGCUGAGAGCACUUUCUAGUCAAGUCCUGCAUGUUCAUUUCUGUCUCAAGUCAGCUUCUCUGAGAAUCCAAUUUAUAAAAAUAUAUUUGUGAAUGUAUAAGUAAAGUGACUUGGAUUUUGUCUACGUACAAGGACUUCUAUGCCUGCAUAAAACAGGAAAGAGAUCUUCAUGUAAACAGAGUCCCUCUUAUUGGCUGAAGUGAAGAGUCAUUCUG